rnacentral:rRNA from 1 species
UUAAGCGACUAAGCGUACACGGUGGAUGCCCUGGCAGUCAGAGGCGAUGAAGGACGUGCUAAUCUGCGAUAAGCGUCGGUGAGGUGAUAUGAACCGUUAUAACCGGCGAUUUCCGAAUGGGGAAACCCAGUGUGAUUCGACACACUAUCAUUAACUGAAUCCAUAGGUUAAUGAGGCGAACCGGGGGAACUGAAACAUCUAAGUACCCCGAGGAAAAGAAAUCAACCGAGAUUCCCCCAGUAGCGGCGAGCGAACGGGGAGGAGCCCAGAGCCUGAAUCAGUGUGUGUGUUAGUGGAAGCGUCUGGAAAGGCGUGCGAUACAGGGUGACAGCCCCGUACACAAAAAUGCACAUAUUGUGAGCUCGAUGAGUAGGGCGGGACACGUGGUAUCCUGUCUGAAUAUGGGGGACCAUCCUCCAAGGCUAAAUACUCCUGACUGACCGAUAGUGAACCAGUACCGUGAGGGAAAGGCGAAAAGAACCCCGGCGACGGGAGUGAAAAAGAACCUAGAAACCGUGUACGUACAAGCAGUGGGAGCCUCUUAAUGGGGUGACUGCGUACCUUUUGUAUAAUGGGUCAGCGACUUAUAUUCUGUAGCAAGGUUAACCGAAUAGGGGAGCCGAAGGGAAACCGAGUCUUAACUGGGCGUUAAGUUGCAGGGUAUAGACCCGAAACCCGGUGAUCUAGCCAUGGGCAGGUUGAAGGUUGGGUAACACUAACUGGAGGACCGAACCGACUAAUGUUGAAAAAUUAGCGGAUGACUUGUGGCUGGGGGUGAAAGGCCAAUCAAACCGGGAGAUAGCUGGUUCUCCCCGAAAGCUAUUUAGGUAGCGCCUCGUGAAUUCAUCUCCGGGGGUAGAGCACUGUUUCGGCAAGGGGGUCAUCCCGACUUACCAACCCGAUGCAAACUGCGAAUACCGGAGAAUGUUAUCACGGGAGACACACGGCGGGUGCUAACGUCCGUCGUGAAGAGGGAAACAACCCAGACCGCCAGCUAAGGUCCCAAAGUCAUGGUUAAGUGGGAAACGAUGUGGGAAGGCCCAGACAGCCAGGAUGUUGGCUUAGAAGCAGCCAUCAUUUAAAGAAAGCGUAAUAGCUCACUGGUCGAGUCGGCCUGCGCGGAAGAUGUAACGGGGCUAAACCAUGCACCGAAGCUGCGGCAGCGACACUAUGUGUUGUUGGGUAGGGGAGCGUUCUGUAAGCCUGUGAAGGUGGCCUGUGAGGGUUGCUGGAGGUAUCAGAAGUGCGAAUGCUGACAUAAGUAACGAUAAAGCGGGUGAAAAGCCCGCUCGCCGGAAGACCAAGGGUUCCUGUCCAACGUUAAUCGGGGCAGGGUGAGUCGACCCCUAAGGCGAGGCCGAAAGGCGUAGUCGAUGGGAAACAGGUUAAUAUUCCUGUACUUGGUGUUACUGCGAAGGGGGGACGGAGAAGGCUAUGUUGGCCGGGCGACGGUUGUCCCGGUUUAAGCGUGUAGGCUGGUUUUCCAGGCAAAUCCGGAAAACCAAGGCUGAGGCGUGAUGACGAGGCACUACGGUGCUGAAGUGACAAAUGCCCUGCUUCCAGGAAAAGCCUCUAAGCAUCAGGUAACAUCAAAUCGUACCCCAAACCGACACAGGUGGUCAGGUAGAGAAUACCAAGGCGCUUGAGAGAACUCGGGUGAAGGAACUAGGCAAAAUGGUGCCGUAACUUCGGGAGAAGGCACGCUGAUAUGUAGGUGAAGCGACUUGCUCGUGGAGCUGAAAUCAGUCGAAGAUACCAGCUGGCUGCAACUGUUUAUUAAAAACACAGCACUGUGCAAACACGAAAGUGGACGUAUACGGUGUGACGCCUGCCCGGUGCCGGAAGGUUAAUUGAUGGGGUUAGCGGCAACGCGAAGCUCUUGAUCGAAGCCCCGGUAAACGGCGGCCGUAACUAUAACGGUCCUAAGGUAGCGAAAUUCCUUGUCGGGUAAGUUCCGACCUGCACGAAUGGCGUAAUGAUGGCCAGGCUGUCUCCACCCGAGACUCAGUGAAAUUGAACUCGCUGUGAAGAUGCAGUGUACCCGCGGCAAGACGGAAAGACCCCGUGAACCUUUACUAUAGCUUGACACUGAACAUUGAGCCUUGAUGUGUAGGAUAGGUGGGAGGCUUUGAAGUGUGGACGCCAGUCUGCAUGGAGCCGACCUUGAAAUACCACCCUUUAAUGUUUGAUGUUCUAACGUUGGCCCGUAAUCCGGGUUGCGGACAGUGUCUGGUGGGUAGUUUGACUGGGGCGGUCUCCUCCUAAAGAGUAACGGAGGAGCACGAAGGUUGGCUAAUCCUGGUCGGACAUCAGGAGGUUAGUGCAAUGGCAUAAGCCAGCUUGACUGCGAGCGUGACGGCGCGAGCAGGUGCGAAAGCAGGUCAUAGUGAUCCGGUGGUUCUGAAUGGAAGGGCCAUCGCUCAACGGAUAAAAGGUACUCCGGGGAUAACAGGCUGAUACCGCCCAAGAGUUCAUAUCGACGGCGGUGUUUGGCACCUCGAUGUCGGCUCAUCACAUCCUGGGGCUGAAGUAGGUCCCAAGGGUAUGGCUGUUCGCCAUUUAAAGUGGUACGCGAGCUGGGUUUAGAACGUCGUGAGACAGUUCGGUCCCUAUCUGCCGUGGGCGCUGGAGAACUGAGGGGGGCUGCUCCUAGUACGAGAGGACCGGAGUGGACGCAUCACUGGUGUUCGGGUUGUCAUGCCAAUGGCACUGCCCGGUAGCUAAAUGCGGAAGAGAUAAGUGCUGAAAGCAUCUAAGCACGAAACUUGCCCCGAGAUGAGUUCUCCCUGACCCUUUAAGGGUCCUGAAGGAACGUUGAAGACGACGACGUUGAUAGGCCGGGUGUGUAAGCGCAGCGAUGCGUUGAGCUAACCGGUACUAAUGAACCGUGAGGCUUAACCUU